AUGACCCAUUUUUGGUUGGGAGUAUUUUUAGUGCUUUACUCCAAUUCGACUUCCAGAGGAGCGAAAGUUCAUUUUAAGAAGAUCUUUGUUGAUCUUAAAAGCUCGAAGCGCUCCGAAAUCUUCUUUCUAAAGCUCAGAACGCUCCUAAAUCUUCUUUCUCAAGCUCAAAAUGCUCCUAAGUCUUCUUUUAGGGGCUCCAAUGGAGCACUCAAUAUCCCUGUCAAAAACAGACGUUCACAUUAUUUUGUAAAAAAGAUUUAUAAAAAAUGUUCAAACGCUAGAAGACUGCAGCUCCCACGGGAAUAGUUAUUUUUGAACAAUUAAACCCCUUAUCAAUAUCUUAUUAAAAAGGUGACCUUUGACUCCCAGAAUCUCUUUUUUAGUUCCUGAGCCAUGCCGUAUCACGGUAUGUCACUUUUUAGCCAGCUUUGAUUUAGUAUCCUCGGUCAAAAAUCAAUUAGGAUGGAACUUAUUUAAGUUUUUAGUCCUCAAUAUUUUUUUUAAGGAAAUCUGAGUUUUGAGAGGUCCUGUCUAUGGGAUAAACGUCAAGUCAUCUGCGCUGGCAUAAUCAUUUUUAUAAUUUUGAAGGAAGAUGAUCGAACUUAUUUGUUGGGAAUAGCCACGGAAUAUUUUUCCUCCCAAGAUAAAAUUUGUGGAAAUUUUCAAUGCACUCUACAUUGGCUCUGGUUUUUUGUUCAGUGAAAUGGAAUCAGCUGAAGUCAAAGGCUGAAAAAAUUAACUGCAGUUAAUGUGAUGAUGUUUUAGAGUAAUUUUUAUUCAGAUUUAAGCAAGCGAUUAUAAUUGAAAUUCCUUUUUUUUCCCUACUACUUCACUUUAUCGUGUCUGUGAUUAGCCCCUUUCCAAUUUUGUAUAAUUUUAUUUUGUUAAUUUUCUCUCAAAAAUCGUCAGCUCUUUCGGAUCAUUUUGCCACCUCCCUCAUUUUACGAUACAUGUGAAAUGGUUCUGAAGUUUACAAACAAGGGAGUUCUUUUCUUCCUCUUUGAGGUGCUUGUCUUUCGCUUUGCUGAUGGAUAAUCCUAAAAGCAGCUGGAGUAUUUUAGAAUGAUUCCAGUGUUUGCUUAAAAUAAUUAUUGUGCUGACCUCUACUAUUGGGUGCUCUUUUUGCGAGGGAAGAUAUACUUUCCGCAUUGGACUUUAGCAGUUUAUGACAUCAAUUUAUGCAGACAUGUGUGUCCAUUUUGUUAUUCAAAAUUUAAUCGCUGUCACAUCAAUUAAGUUGUACAUGCUCAGAAAAAACUAAUGCACCCAAAUUGAAUUUAAAAGCUUAUAAUUAUAAGAAGCGAGAUUCAUCUUAUUUUCUGCUUCUUCAAACGUUCCUUACACCAACAGGUAAAAUGUUGAAAUCGAAGAGGGCUGAAAAUAUAGUCAAUAACUAUUCAGUUGUUUUUAUUUUUUUACUUGAAAAUUAUGUAAUAAGAAAUUAUGUAUAGAUAUUUGUUAAAAAUAAUACAUUUUUCCUCAUAAAAUUCAUAACUCUCUAUUUUAUUGUUUUAGUCACUUUUCCUUUGCUUUUCUUCAUUUGUGAAGAAAAAACGAAGUUCUCGUACUCUCUUAAUGAAUGGAAGAAGUAGCCAAGAAAGGGCCUGUGUCCUUCAAGUGCAGAAUUUUCAAAUAGAGGUUCAACUGUUUGAAGUUGUAUCUCCGACUGACUCCCUACACAAGUUUUGAUGAGUUUUUGACAGAUUUUUUCCCCUUAUCGCUGCCAUUCAUAAAAUUUCCUCAGUCAAAGACUACGAGAUUCGAACAUCUAUUAAAAAAUAGUCCGGGGGGCCAAUUGUUGAAACUAUGUCUAUUGACAUGACAAGUCUUGACACUCUACCAUGCAUUUCUGUAUCAUCUAGUGCAUAGAUAUUCAAUGUCUUUUUGUUCAAAAAUGCAUCUCAACAAUCGCCUCGCAGCUGGUGAGUUAGGUACUAGGAACUCAUAAGCUGCAACGUAAUAAUUUUUCUAUGUGGAUUUCAAAAUCAUAUUACACAGUCAAAAAUCGAUCGGCGAAGUGGGCUACAUACCUCUAUUUGCAAUGUUCCAGGUGACUACAUGCCAUACUUUCUUUCUUCUUUUUUUAUUUUU
rnacentral:lncRNA from 1 species